rnacentral:rRNA from 1 species
CAUGCAAGUCGAGCGGUAACAGAUCUAGCUUGCUGGAUGCUGACGAGCGGCGGACGGGUGAGUAAUGCAUAGGAAUCUGCCCGAUAGUGGGGGAUAACCUGGGGAAACCCAGGCUAAUACCGCAUACGUCCUACGGGAGAAAGGGGGCUCCGGCUCCCGCUAUGGGAUGAGCCUAUGUCGGAUUAGCUAGUUGGUGAGGUAACGGCUCACCAAGGCCACGAUCCGUAGCUGGUCUGAGAGGAUGAUCAGCCACAUCGGGACUGAGACACGGCCCGAACUCCUACGGGAGGCAGCAGUGGGGAAUAUUGGACAAUGGGGGAAACCCUGAUCCAGCCAUGCCGCGUGUGUGAAGAAGGCCCUCGGGUUGUAAAGCACUUUCAGCGAGGAAGAACGCCUAGCGGUUAAUACCCGCUAGGAAAGACAUCACUCGCAGAAGAAGCACCGGCUAACUCCGUGCCAGCAGCCGCGGUAAUACGGAGGGUGCAAGCGUUAAUCGGAAUUACUGGGCGUAAAGCGCGCGUAGGUGGCUUGAUAAGCCGGUUGUGAAAGCCCCGGGCUCAACCUGGGAACGGCAUCCGGAACUGUCAAGCUAGAGUGCAGGAGAGGAAGGUAGAAUUCCCGGUGUAGCGGUGAAAUGCGUAGAGAUCGGGAGGAAUACCAGUGGCGAAGGCGGCCUUCUGGACUGACACUGACACUGAGGUGCGAAAGCGUGGGUAGCAAACAGGAUUAGAUACCCUGGUAGUCCACGCCGUAAACGAUGUCGACCAGCCGUUGGGUGCCUAGCGCACUUUGUGGCGAAGUUAACGCGAUAAGUCGACCGCCUGGGGAGUACGGCCGCAAGGUUAAAACUCAAAUGAAUUGACGGGGGCCCGCACAAGCGGUGGAGCAUGUGGUUUAAUUCGAUGCAACGCGAAGAACCUUACCUACUCUUGACAUCCUGCGAAUUUGGUAGAGAUACCUUAGUGCCUUCGGGAACGCAA